rnacentral:lncRNA from 1 species
UCAGCUUAGAUCAGGGCCUUUUUCCUUAUAUUACUUGAAGCAGCCCUGUUAUAGGAUCUAGGGAUUGAUUCUAAUCACCAAGAAAAUUAAGAAUCUCUUCUUGAUUUUCUUUUUCUCUCUAAAGCCUCUCUCUCAGAUCUCUAUCUGGAGGUGGAACAGGGGUGUGGAGAUGGAAGGAAAAAGGAGUAGAGGGUGUGGAACAUUGGCUUCUGGCA